rnacentral:rRNA from 1 species
GACGAACGCUGGCGGCGUGCCUAAUACAUGCAAGUAGGACGCAGUUGCGAACGGGUGAGUAACGCGUAGGUAACUACCUAUUAGAGGGGGAUAACUAUUGGAAACGAUAGCUAAUACCGCAUACUAGUAGAUGGAUCUGCGUUGUAUGAGCUAGGAGGUAGGGUAAUGGCCUACCUAGGCAACGAUCCAUAGCCGACAUUGGAGGGUGAUCGGCCAAACUGGUACUGUGGAACGGCCCAGACUCCUACGGGAGGCAGCAGGAGGGAAUCUUGGGCAAUGGGGGGAACCCUGACCGAGCAACGCCGCGUGAGUGAAGAAGGUUUUCGGAUCGUAAAGCUCUGUUGUUAAGGAAGCGGUACUUAACGAGAAAGGGACGGCUAACUACGUGCCAGCAGCCGCGGUAAUUG